rnacentral:lncRNA from 1 species
CAAUGCAUUUAUCUUAGGAUCAGAGAGAGGUCUUAAUGCAAUGAUAUGGUGAUAUGAUCAUGCAUCGUAAGAGUUAUGUCAAGAGUCAUGUCUGCUAGUUCAUAGAGGAGACUAGUGGCUUGUCCCAAGCUCAGAGAAGGUUAGGAUCAGAGAGGGGUCUUAACGCAUUGAUUUGGUGAUAUGAUCAUGCAUUGUAAGAGUUUUUUCAAGAGGACUUCCUGCUAGUUCAGAAAGGAGACUAAUGGCUUGUCCCAAGCUCAAAGAGGGGGCUUGG